GCGACCGAGGAAGGUAAGAGCAUCUUUGCUAUUUCUCUCUUUUUCUUUGUCUGUCUGACUUUGUCUGUUUUCUUGGCAGGAGGAUAAACAUGAUGUGCACAUUCCUAUCGUUGUCAUGGAGACGCUGAGAAAGCACAGCUGGACAAGGAGAAUAUGAGGUGUGUUGAGCGUAGCGCAGGAGGACCUCUCCAGGGUGUUUGCAUUGCUGCAGUACAUCAUCUGAUGAAUUAAGGACCGAAGAGCCCUUUGGCCCGGCAUAUAUCACCCCGAGCAGAGUGGAGAGAGACGCAGUGCCCUGGAGAGCAGAGGAAUGCUUCUGUUGCCUGCCUGGGAUUGCAUACACUCACAUUCACAUACAUCCACACGCGUACACACUGAUAAAUCUUCUGCUAUAUGUCCUACUCCACCACUGACAGGUCCUCAGAGCUCCAAGAUCUCCACCUCUGCUCCUGUACUGAGAAAUGCAUGCUGAAAAGAUGAAGUGUUCUUCAAAUGUACAGAGAACCAGUGCAGACAUGGUCGCAGAGGAACAGAUCCCAAGAACCUAUCCCAGGAACACUGGAUGUGAGGCAGGACUACUACAUGUAUCAGACGCCAGUUCAUCACAGGUCAUCACACACACACACACACACUCACACACUCAUUCACACUAAGGUGCAAUUUAGCCAAUUCAGACAAUCCAUCUACAUGCAUGUUUUUGGGAGGUGUGAGGAAACCAGAGAACCCGGAGGAAACCAGAGAACCCGGAGGAAACCCACACAGAUACAAGGAAAACAUAAGAAACCGUACACAGAGUCUGGAUCAAACCUUCAGAGUCUUGACGUGGCAAUGUUACUU